rnacentral:misc_RNA from 1 species
CCGCAGAUCUUGCGCGUGCAGGUGGAAUAAGAGUGAUUAUGUAUAUGUAUAUACUGUCUAUCAGCUGUUUAUACAUACUCGUGCAUGUGUGCCAACUCAUACUCGCUUUUGUGUGUAAUUUAUCGUCUCGCGAUUCCAACUUUGCCGCUGAAAACUUGCUCGAGUUAAUCAGUUAUUGGACGUUACAAAUCAAAAAGUCAGCGCACGUAUAAAGCUAAACACGGGAUGACAAACUUAUCAACACGGCUGGAAUCGGUACCUAGUUGAUGAAUGGUGGAAGACGGCGUUUUUGGCCCUGUAGGCCAAAUCAUCAUCUACAGCACCAUCGCAGUGACACUAGUGAUUGCCUUACUCAUUAUAGCCUGCUUCGUUACACCUGGAUGCAUUGGCUACGAGUGUGUGAGACCAAAAAAAAAACAAUCUGUCACAGACGGGAAUCCUAACGAUAAAAUCAACGAAAAUCUAAAAUUAAAUGAUGUCAGCUAUCGAUCUUGGCGAGUUGGAAGUUUAUAUGAUACUGAAAGUGGUACCAUAUUCGAAAAUUCAGUAUCUCCCAGGCAAUCAAUAAACUCUAAUGACAGUCAAAUUGAAGCGUCUGAUCCGAAUUCCAUUGCAAGUGUAACUCUUCCAUCAAAGCAAAAUGUAAAAGAUACAGACUUUCCAACAGAACUAACUCUUAGCCUCAGAUAUUUACCUUAUUGUGAAGGAGUCACAGCUUCAAAGUUUGUUAUUGGAGUCGAGACAUUGUUAGGACUUCCUCCAAAACAAUAUAAUUGUACUUUAGAACCUUAUGUGACAUUAGAUUUAUAUAAACAAUCUUGGACGAAUCGGAAAAAACAAAAAUUAUAUAGCUUUAAAACCAAAGGAGUCAAGCAUACUGCCAAUCCAGUUUUUAAAGAAUCUUUUGUAAUUUCGGGAGCAAAUCCACAAGACAUAAAAGAGUGGAUGCUCAACAUUGAAGCCUAUGACCAUGAUCGUUAUGCUAAUCAUACUAAAUUAAGCGAGCUUCAAGUUCAAUUAAAGGACACGAAGAGAAUAUUUCUUUCCCCGGAAACUCAUCUUUUCAAUUUUCAAAUGAAAACUUCAAAACAGGAGUAUGGAAGUAUACUACUUGGAAUAAGCUAUUUACCAACGGCACAACGCUUAUCGAUAAAUGUUAUGAAAGCACGCAACAUCAAUUUUAUGCCAACGAUACCAAAUAUUCAAGAAUUCAACCCUUUUGUUCGGAUUUUGAUGUUAAAUGGACGUACCAGUAAAAGAAUAAAGAAAUUAAAAACUAAAGUUGUUCCAGCCGUAAGAGAACCUGAAUUUAACGAAACUUUAACAUUUGAUUUGCCGCCGAAUAAAAUAGAUUCGCUACAGUUCCUAAUAAUUUUAUGUAGCAAGUCAAAAAUAGAUACGUCUACCAUGCCUAUGAUGAAUGAAUUACCUAGUGAUAGCGAGGAUUCGGUCGUUUCAUUUCAAAAAGCCAAAGAUGUUUGUAUAGGAAAAGUUGCUCUUGGCAAAGGAGUUCGUGGUACAACGGAAAGACUGCACUGGUUUUCUAUUUUUCAAAAUCCCAGAAAACUCGUAACAGUGUGGCAUAGCCUCAAAUGAUGAAUACCUUUUCCUCAGUAGCUUUUUUGAGCAUAACAAAUGCCAUACUUAUGUGCCAUAAGAGCCGAGAAGUGUGCCCAAUAGUUAUAAAAAUUGCUUUUUUAUAAAUGUACUAUAUCUUCAAAAUUUAAUAAAAAAC